ACGGAAGGCAGCAGUGGGGAAUAUUGCACAAUGGGGGAAACCCUGAUGCAGCGACGCCGCGUGAGUGAAGAAGUAUUUCGGUAUGUAAAGCUCUAUCAGCAGGGAAGAUAAUGACGGUACCUGACUAAGAAGCCCCGGCUAACUACGUGCCAGCAGCCGCGGUAAUACGUAGGGGGCAAGCGUUAUCCGGAUUUACUGGGUGUAAAGGGUGCGUAGGUGGUAUGGCAAGUCGGAAGUGAAAACCCGGGGCUCAACCCCGUGGAUUGCUUUUGAAACUGUCAAACUAGAGUACCGGAGAGGUAAGCGGAAUUCCUAGUGUAGCGGUGAAAUGCGUAGAUAUUAGGAAGAACACCGGUGGCGAAGGCGGCCUGCUGGACUGGUACUGACGCUGAGGCACGAAAGCGUGGGGAGCAAACAGGAUUAGAUACCCUGGUA
rnacentral:rRNA from 1 species